GACGAACGCUGGCGGCGUGCCUAAUACAUGCAAGUCGAGCGGACGAAUCGAAAGCUUGCUUUUGAUUCGUUAGCGGCGGACGGGUGAGUAACACGUGGGCAACCUGCCCUGUAGACGGGGAUAACACCGAGAAAUCGGUGCUAAUACCGGAUAACACGAAAUGUCGCAUGACGUUUCGUUGAAAGACGGCGCAAGCUGUCGCUACAGGAGGGGCCCGCGGCGCAUUAGCUAGUUGGUGAGGUAACGGCUCACCAAGGCGACGAUGCGUAGCCGACCUGAGAGGGUGAUCGGCCACACUGGAACUGAGACACGGCCCAGACUCCUACGGGAGGCAGCAGUAAGGAAUCUUCCGCAAUGGACGAAAGUCUGACGGAGCAACGCCGCGUGAGCGAAGAAGGCCUUCGGGUCGUAAAGCUCUGUUGUUAGGGAAGAACAAGUAACGCAGUAACUGGCGUUAUCGUGACGGUACCUAACGAGAAAGCCACGGCUAACUACGUG
rnacentral:rRNA from 1 species